GGAGGAGUCGCCUAGCGGCUAUGGCACACGCUUGGAAAGCGUGCGGGCGAAAGCCCUCGCGGGUUCGAGUCCCGCCUCCUCCG
rfam:Microgenomates group bacterium RIFCSPHIGHO2_01_FTLL_45_11 rifcsphigho2_01_scaffold_5711, whole genome shotgun sequence.